rnacentral:tRNA from 1 species
AGGGUAAUAGCUCAGUGGUAGAGCACAUGCCUAGCAUGCAUGAGGUCCUGGGUUCAAUCCCCAGUGACUCCA